GGGGAUAUAGCUCAGUUGGUAGAGCGAUUGGUUCGCAAUCAAUAGGUCGCCGGUUCAAAUCCGACUAUCUCCA
rnacentral:tRNA from 1 species